rnacentral:rRNA from 1 species
GGUUAACGCUGGCGGCGUGCCUAACACAUGCAAGUCGAACGGUUCUAAGCGCGAGCUUAGGAUAGUGGCGAACGGGUGAGUAAAAAGGUAGGAAUCUACCCCUUGGACGGAGAUAGCUACUGGAAACGGUAGGUAAACUUCGAUAAGCCCGAGAGGGGAAAGUGGUGAGACAGCCGAGGGAUGAGCCUACUCUCCAUCAGGUAGUUGGUGAGAUAAAAGCUUACCAAGCCGAUGACGGGUAGCCGGCCUGAGAGGGUGACCGGCCCGAGGGGCACUGAGAUACGGGUCCCACUCCUACGGGAGGCAGCAGGCUAGAAAUUUGGGCAAUGGGGGAAACCCUGACCCAGUGACGCCGCGUGCAGGAAGGAGCCCUUCGGGGUGUAAACUGCUGUCGUGUAGGGAGAAGGGUACUAAGGUGAACAAUCUUAGUACUUGACGGUACUACAGGAGGAAGCCAGGCUAACCUCGUGCCAGCAGCCGCGGUAAAAUAGACGUACU